rnacentral:lncRNA from 1 species
CAAGAGACAAAAACAGAGAGACAAGAAGCCGGCAAUAUCCCAAGCACGUAGGAUCCUGAUAAUUUAGGGUCUGUGCCUCAAUUUCAGACCUUUCAAAUCAGCCUCAGGACUUGGCAUUACACUCUGUGCCCCCUGAGGAGUGAUCUUUGACUUGCUGUGUGAUCAUUAGAUGAUACACAUUUGGGCGGAGAAUCAUCUGUCCUUGUCCCAGGGUGACCCAGAGUAAAGAGUCAAGACUUUGGAAUCAGCUCCCUGGGGCUCCAGUCCCAGAUAUUCCACAUACUAGCUGUGAGCCAUCGAGCAAAUUAUGUAACCUGUCUGAGCCUUGGUUUUUCUCCCAUGAAAACAAGAUUGACACAGCAAAAUCCUUAUGUCACAGAACCCUUCUGACACUUGAUGCAAUCCAUAGUGAAGUCAUUAAGAGUAGAGAUACUAGAGCUAGACUGAUAGGUUCAAAUCCUACUUUGAUCAUACAAUACCUGUGUGACCUAGGGAAAAAACUUUACUGCAUCAUGCCUCAGUUUCCCCUUGGUAAAAUGAGAAUAAUCAUAAUACCUAUCUAUGGGAUUGUUAUGAAAACUACAUGAGUUAAUGUUUUUUGGGUGUUUUUAUUACUCCUUGGUAUAUCUCUUCUUAUUAAACUGCAAGUGCUUGGUAAUUAACCUUAGCUGUUCUUGUCAUUACGUUCAUUGUCCAGCUUAGUGACCUGCAAGCAGCUGCAGCCUCACACACAGGCGUGGAUGCAAUCAUUCAAGAUGUUUUCACACUUGAGCAGGCUGCCCAUUGUGACCCCACUGGAGGCACCCCCAGAGUCUGCUACCCCGACAGUGAGCCUGAUAAUGGGAAAGAGGAUUGCUGAACAAACACAUAGGCUUCGUCUUUCAAGAGAAAACAAACAACCAUGCACAGGCUUGGGAAAGCUGAUGGAAAGAGAACAAAGUGACAAGUUUAGGAAUGAUGACUCUCAUACGUCAAACCACAGAAUAAAAAAAAUUCUGUUAUUCAAACUGCUCCAAAACAUAGAGAAAAAGGAUCUUCAUGGGAGCUGGUGGAUGGUGCAUCCAUAUACAGUGAAGACUGCAGAACCGUUCGUAGGGGAGGACAGGUGCCAUCUGCCAUGGAAUGACUCCCACUCUUUCACCUCUAGUAUUUGA